rnacentral:rRNA from 1 species
GACGAGGGGUCCUAGCGUUGUUCGGAAUCACUGGGCGUAAAGCGUUUGUAGGCGGCUCUAUAAGUCGGGUGUGAAAUCCCAUGGCUCAACCAUGGAAGUGCAUUCGAAACUGCAGAGCUUGAAUAUGGAAGAGGAGAGUAGAAUUCCUGGUGUAGUGGUGAAAUACGCAGAUAUCAGGAAGAACACCCGUGGCGAAGGCGGCUCUCUGGUACGUGACUGACGCUGAGACGCGAAAGCGUGGGGAGCGAACAGG